rnacentral:rRNA from 1 species
UACAGAGACUGCAAGCGUUAUUCGGAUUCACUGGGCGUAAAGGGUGCGCAGGCGGCCAAGUGUGUCAGGUGUGAAAUCCCUCGGCUUAACCGGGGAACUGCGUCUGAUACUGGAUGGCUUGAGUUCGGGAGAGGGAUGCGGAAUUCCAGGUGUAGCGGUGAAAUGCGUAGAUAUCUGGAGGAACACCGGUGGCGAAGGCGACAACCUGGACCGACACUGACACUGAGGAGCGAAAGCCAGGGGAGCAAACGGG